rnacentral:rRNA from 1 species
UACGUAGGGUGCAAGCGUUGUCCGGAAUUAUUGGGCGUAAAGAGCUCGUAGGCGGUUUGUCGCGUCGAAUGUGAAAACCCGGGGCUCAACCCCGGGCCUGCAUUCGAUACGGGCAGACUAGAGUUCGGUAGGGGAGUCUGGAAUUCCUGGUGUAGCGGUGAAAUGCGCAGAUAUCAGGAGGAACACCGGUGGCGAAGGCGGUUCUCUGGGCCUGUACUGACGCUGAGGAACGAAAGCGUGGGGAGCGAACAGG